rnacentral:rRNA from 1 species
UAAGACGAACCGUGCGAACGUUGUUCGGAAUCACUGGGCUUAAAGGGCGCGUAGGCGGGCCUUCAAGUCCGGGGUGAAAUCCUCCAGCCUAACUGGAGAAGAGCCUCGGAGACUGAGGGCCUCGAGGAGGGUAGGGGCGUGCGGAACUCUGGGUGGAGCGGUGAAAUGCAUUGAUAUCCAGAGGAACUCCGGUGGCGAAGGCGGCACGCUGGACCCUUUCUGACGCUGAGGCGCGAAAGCCAGGGGAGCAAACGGGAUUAGAUACCCCGGUAGUCCUGGCCCUAAACGUUGGGUACUAGGUAGUAGACCAGACAUGGGUUUACUGCCGGAGCAAAAGUGCUAAGUACCCCGCCUGGGGAGUAUGGUCGCAAGGCUG